CAGUAGCCUCGGUAAUACAGAGGGUGCGAGCGUUAAUCGGAUUUACUGGGCGUAAAGCGUGCGUAGGCGGCUUUUUAAGUCGGAUGUGAAAUCCCUGAGCUUAACUUAGGAAUUGCAUUCGAUACUGGGAAGCUAGAGUAUGGGAGAGGAUGGUAGAAUUCCAGGUGUAGCGGUGAAAUGCGUAGAGAUCUGGAGGAAUACCGAUGGCGAAGGCAGCCAUCUGGCCUAAUACUGACGCUGAGGUACGAAAGCAUGGGGAGCAAACAGGAUUAGAUACCCCUGUAGUCCCUGUCUCUUAUAC
rnacentral:rRNA from 1 species